GACGACCGCUGGCGGCGUGCCUAAUACAUGCAAGUAGGACGCAGUUGCGAACGGGUGAGUAACGCGUAGUUAACUGACUAUUAGAUGGGGAUAACUAUUGGAAACGAUAACUAAUACCGCAUACUAGUAGAUGGACCUUCGUUGUAUUUGCUAGUAGGUAGGGUAAUGGCCUACCUAGGCGCCGAUACAUAGCCGACAGGAGAGGGUGAUAGGACACAAUGGGACUGAGACACGGCCAAGACUCCGACGGGAGGGAGCAGUAGGGAAUCUUCGGCAAUGGGGGGAACCCUGACCGAGCAACGCCGCGUGAGUGAAGAAGGUUGUCGGAUCGUAAAGCUCUGUUGUUAAGGAAGCGGUACUUAACCAGAAAGGGACGGCUAACUACGUGCCAGCAGCCGCGGUAAUUC
rnacentral:rRNA from 1 species